GAAAAACGUAAUAUAAGUCCAUAUUUGAUUAUUAAUGCAUCUUGGGUUAUUUAAACAUACUUCAAAUGUUGAACCUGCGAAGUCUUUAGAACCAGAACUCGCGCUUUUCAAACGCGGCUUUUCUUUGGCAUAUGCCAUAUAUCGUACUCCGCUGGCAAUGAUCCUCCUCAAGCCCAAUUGCUUUCGAUUCUUAUUAAAAUUCUCCAUUUCCCAAAACAAAAUCCAUUGCAAAUCGUUCAAGCUUCUCCACUCGCAUACCCAUUCACUUCACAGCCCGAUCCAUCUCUUCCACCCCCAAAAAACCCUUUUCCUCCUUUUCGUCUAAGGCUUUCUCUCUCCAGAGCAGACGAAAUGUCAGCACGUUUUGGCAUUUUGGUCUUUGAAUUAUGGGCUCACCAAUGACUCAAAAUCUUAUAAAUGCUGGGUGCGACGUUGCUGUUUGGAAUAGGACGGAGAGCAAAUGUAAUCCCCCCCUAUCUCGCUGGGUGCAAAGUAAGGCAUGUUGGUCUACUCGCCACCAAGGAAAAUCUGUUUCGAAGACGUUGUGCUCAAUCUAAAACUUGUCCUAUUUGCAUGGAGUUUGAUGAAUCUUCGGAACACCUGUUCGACGGAAACUACAUGCCAGAGUUACGAUGAUGCCUAUGAAAAGCCAGGUGUAACUGAGAUUGCUAUCAUGGAACAAAAUGCAGGCAACCAACAAGAACGCAUUGACCAGACAACCCUCAAGUAUUAGCCAUUUGAAUUUGGAUACGGGCUUGACUGGUUGCGAUGACAACGAUGAAUCAGACAUGAAAAACCAAGGAGGCGAAGUUGGGUAGAGUGGGCUCGGAUGGGUUUAUGGCAGAGCUUGAGUCUUGGUGCCUCAUGUGCAUGAAUAUAUGUUCUGGUGAAGACAGACAAAUUUCCUUCUCUCUGUAAUUGAGCUCUAGUAUUGGUUUAUGGUUUAUCUUGAUAUGUAAAUGUAGUGUUAGUGAAAGAUAUGCAGUAGUACUAUGUAAUUGAGCUCUAGUGUUGGUUUAUGGUUUAUCUUGAUAUGUAAAUGUAGUGUUGCGUUUGUUUUUAAAAUUGUAGCAAGUGCAAUGCCCAAAGGGAUGAUGAGAGAUAAUGGGAAGAAGUGAAACAACUAUUAAGUC